ACAGGGAUUGCCCCAGUAACGGCGAGUGAAGCGGCAACAGCUCAAAUUUGAAAUCUGGUCCCCAGGGCCCGAGUUGUAAUUUGUAGAGGAUGCUUUUGGCGAGGCGCCUUCCGAGUUCCCUGGAACGGGACGCCACAGAGGGUGAGAGCCCCGUCUGGUCGGAUGCCAAGCCUAUGUAAAGCUCCUUCGACGAGUCGAGUAGUUUGGGAAUGCUGCUCAAAAUGGGAGGUAUAUGUCUUCUAAAGCUAAAUACCGGCCAGAGACCGAUAGCGCACAAGUAGAGUGAUCGAAAGAUGAAAAGCACUUUGAAAAGAGGGUUAAAAAGUACGUGAAAUUGUUGAAAGGGAAGCGCCUAUGACCAGACUUGGGCCCGGUGAAUCAUCCAGCGUUCUCGCUGGUGCACUUUGCCGGGCACAGGCCAGCAUCAGUUUGGCGCGGGGGACAAAGGCUUCGGGAAUGUGGCUCCCCUCGGGGAGUGUUAUAGCCCGUUGCGCAAUACCCUGCGCCGGACUGAGGUACGCGCUCCGCAAGGAUGCUGGCGUAAUGGUCAUCAGCGACCCGUCUUGAAACACGGACCAAGGAGUCGUCUUCGUAUGCGAGUGUUCGGGUGUAAAACCCCUACGCGUAAUGAAAGUGAACGCAGGUGAGAGCUUCGGCGCAUCACCGACCGAUCCUGAUGUUCUCGGAUGGAUUUGAGUAAGAGCAUACGGGGCCGGACCCGAAAGAAGGUGAACUAUGCCUGUAUAGGGUGAAGCCAGAGGAAACUCUGGUGGAGGCUC
rnacentral:rRNA from 1 species